ensembl:lncRNA
GGGAAAGCGAAGGCAGGAGCGUGAGGUGAACUGAAUUUCAGUCGCUGACGCGGAGCUACAACCGAGGGCAGCUAUCCACCGGUGUGUGUCAGAAAGAACAUGCGGGGAACGAGGCGGCGAGGCGACCGCCGAUCGACCGGUGGUAGAUCGUGGAUCAGGGAAACCGAAGGCAGGAGAAGCAGGCGGCUGCCGGUCGGAGCGUGAGGUGAACUGAAUUUCAGCAUGUCUUUAUCCUGUUUUCCUUCUUUCACCCCAACCGGUCGCAGCAGAUGGCCCCGCCCCUCCCUGAGCCUGGUUCUGCCAGAGGUUUCUUCCUGUUAAAAGGGAGUUUUUCCUUCCCACUGUCGCCACAGCGCUUGCUCAUAGGGGGUCAUAUGAUUGUUGGGUUUUUCUCUGUAUUUAUUAUUGUGCGAUCUAUUGUACAAUAUAAAGCGCCUUGAG